UGACUGUCUAUGCUUUUGGCUGAGAAGACGUCACUUUGCCGCCGCGCACCGGACAGUCCAGUUGCUGCUAAAACUCGCCAGAGACGGUCAUGGGAAGAGAUCCUUUUGAACCCAAGAUCCUGAAAUUGGCAACAAGCUGAAUACCAAUCUCUGAAAAAUAUGCUUUGGAAGUGAUUCCUGGAGAGCUUCACUGUUGACAAGUUCUGCAGAUUCUGUUCGGCAAGCAGGAGUGACACACAACGCCAAGAGAUGGCUGAGCAACAGAAUAUAACCAUGAGGGUUAUUGUCUCAGAGGGAGAUAUAAGAAAGAUGACCACAAAACGACCUGACACACUUGACGAUUUGAUUGGCUGGCUCAAAGGCACUCUCCAAGCGAACUAUAGUUUCACCUUACAGUACCAAGAUCCUGAAUUUAAC